rnacentral:rRNA from 1 species
UACGUAGGGUGCAAGCGUUAAUCGGAAUUACUGGGCGUAAAGCGUGCGCAGGCGGUUAUGUAAGACAGAUGUGAAAUGCCCGGGCUUAACCUGGGAACUGCCUUUGUGACUGCAUGGCUAGAGUUUGGCAGAGGGGGGUAGAAUUCCACGUGUAGCAGUGAAAUGCGUAGAUAUGUGGAGGAACACCGAUGGCGAAGGCAGCCCCCUGGGUCAAGACUGACGCUCAUGCACGAAAGCGUGGGGAGCAAACAGG